rnacentral:lncRNA from 1 species
CUCUCGCCAGACCUUCACCACGUGGAAGUAGUCAGUUUUGGCAGGGUCUUCCGCCCCCUCUUCCCGACCGACUCUGGGGUCCCUCUCCCCGCCCUCGUUGAGCAGCGUCCUCCCUGCCCGUGCUCUGGGACAGAGGUGCCAGCUCAGUGCAGGCAGUGUCACAGCAGGAGCACCUGGACCUGGACGGUGCGAAGAAACGCAAGCGCUCAGAGACCCACGCCCACACCAGGGCUGGCGGAAACCUGGGGACUGGACACAUCCCCUGCCGGUGCACCCCAACUUCUUUGCCUCCUUCCCUUUGCCCUCUUUUCCUUCCUCCCCGCUAUCCUCUGGCUGCCCCACCCCGUCCACGCCACAGCCACCCCUCCCUCCCCGCAGCUGCUGUGUUCCACAGGGGGCCUGGCAAGGAUUCCAAGUGUACCUUUAGCUGGGAGUGGUGGCGCACGCCUGUAAUCCCAGCACUCAGGAGGCUGAGGCAGGAGGAUCGCUGUGAGUUUGAGACCAGCCUGGGCUACACAGUGAGUUCCCGGUCAUUCUCAACUACAUAAUGAGACCCUGUCUCAAAACAGCAACAACAACAACAAUAGCAACAACAACAACAACAACAAAA